AUUGAACGCUGGCGGCAGGCUUAACACAUGCAAGUCGAACGAGUGGCGGACGGGUGAGUAAUGUCUGGGCAACUGCCUGAUGGAGGGGGAUCACUACUGGAAACGGUAGCUAAUACCGCAUACCAUCAGAUGUGCCCAGAUGGGAGUGGCUAGUUGGUUGGGUAAAGGGUCACCAAGGCGACGAUCCCUAGCUGGUCUGAGAGGAUGACCGACCACAGUGGAAAUGAGACACGGGCCAGACUCCGACGGGAGGGAUCAGUGGGGAAUAUUGCACAAUGGGCGCAAGCCUGAUGCAGCCAGGCCGGGUGUAUGAAGAAGGCCGUAGGGUUAUAAAGUACUUUCAGCGGGGAGGCGUUACCCGCAGAAGAAGCACCGGCUAACUCCGUGCCAGCAGCCGCGGUAAUAC
rnacentral:rRNA from 1 species